rnacentral:rRNA from 1 species
AUUGAACGCUGGCGGCAGGCCUAACACCUGCAAGUCGAGCGAGCGGCGGACGGGUGAGUAAUGUCUGGGAAACUGUCUGAUGGAGGGGGAUAACUACUGGAAACGGUAGCUAAUACCGCAUACCAUCAGCUGUGCCCAGAUGGGCUUAGCUAGUAGGUGGGGUAAUGUCUCACCUAGGCGACGAUCCCUAGCUGGUCUGAGAGGUGGACCAGGCCAGCGGGAAAUGAGACACGGUCCAGACGCCUACGGGAAGCAGCAGUGGGGAAUGUUGCACAAAGGGCGCAAGCCAGAUGCAGCCAUGGCGGGUGUGGGAGGAAGGCCUUCGGGUUUCAAAGCACUUUCAGCGGGGAGGCGUUACCCGCAGAAGAAGCACCGGCUAACGCCGUGCCAGCAGCCGCGGUAAUUC